AUAUUGUUAUAACUCUCUCUCUCUUUCUCGCCCUCCUCCCAGUUUCUCUCUAUCUCUCAAUCAUGAACAAGGGAGCAAUAAUCUUUCAAGGGUUCUUUCAAUGAGUCGGUACUCUCUACAUUCCUUUUCUCUUUCCUCUUCACAACGCAAGUCAAAGUCUUUUAUCUGCUUCUUUUGGUGGAAAAAUCGAUGCAGAUCCAAAAAUCGAUUCGCAUAAGAGUAUCAGGUUAUUGAUCUGAUACUCUUAUGCGAAUCGAUUGUUUGACAUGAAUCUUCCCCUUUCAACAAAACUUCCGAUGGAUACCAUUGCACACCAUGUCUAAGGUUGGUCUGGCCUAUUGCUCUUUCCUUGUGCCUAUUUCGCUUUAUGGGGUUCAUUUACAGGUUCAGCAGGUCAAAGACAUAGACAAGCUGGGUUUUAUGGGUCUGGUUCAAGAAGAGCUUGUGUUGAUAGAAGACUGGUACAUUUUUAGAUGAGACCGGUGGGGAUUGGUGGAGGGUUGUCACUUGAGACAAGAAAACCAAUCAUACCAAUCGCAGGGUCUAGUCAAAUGCAGUGCUUCUGUAAUAUGUGUGUCUGCUAUGAAUGCCAGAUGUGCUACAGCACUACAAACCAAAUCUGUUACGCACCAGGCUCCAACAAUCACAAGUCUUCCUCGUUCUUGCAGGCAUAAAUCUUGCUUUUGCAUUUCGGCGCCCUUCUCUAUUUCUUUUAUAGAAGUUAUGAUUCAUGUUCUGUUCAUAAGCCAAAGAGUUGGAGAACAUUUAGUAGUCCUUUAAAUCAGUUGGGAUGACUUUGCAUAUGAAUGCUAGAAACCAAAAAGCAUGCUUUGAUACAAAUUUCACUCAUCUGGUGUAGUGAUCCAUGAUCCAUGAAGAUGAAGUGAUCCUAUGAAAGGAGAAGAAAGGAGAAGAUCAAGGCUGGAAUUAUGGACAGCCAACUAUUAGAUAGUUUUUAUAUGGAUUGGCUCGAUGUUAUUUGUAUCAUGUAUUCAUGUGGUUUGAGGAUUGUUGAGUAGUCCCUACCUUAUAGUAUUGUAGAUUUGAAGAAGGUGAAAUUUUAAUUUUGUUUUUAUUUUUUUUUAAUUUUGAAAUA